rnacentral:tRNA from 1 species
AAAGGGAGACCUAAUUCAGGUAAAAGACGAAAAAAAAGUAGUCGCUACCAAGAAUCAAUCCCAAAAGGUCGGAGCGAGGCGAAAUUGGCUUUCAAACUAGGUUCUGGGUUCAAACAAGACCUGAAUCAGGAACAAGGGCUAUUAGCUCAGGUGGUUAGAGCGCACCCCUGAUAAGGGUGAGGUCCCUGGUUCGAGUCCAGGAUGGCCCACCUGCACAGGUGGCAAAAACAAGAGAAGCGAGGAAUCAGCACCUUAUCUUGCUUAUAUAGUAAGAGAGAAUGCUGGCUCUGAGUAAAGAGUCCAGAGGAACCUUGAAAACUGCAUAGAGCUAGGUGAAAAAGCCAAAAAAGAAGACCGCAAG